AGGCAGUCCGCGCGGAUGGAAGCGGCUCCCACCCAGCCUGCGCCCCGGCUGCUCCCUCCCCGGACCGCCAGGGCAGGGCUGACAAAGCCGGAGGAUGAAAGUCUCAGGGCAGGAGAGCAUCAAGCUGGAGCAGAGGGAAACGAUCCCAUAGUUGGGACCAACCUUCCAGAUGAUGUCAUGAUUUCUUGCAUUGAGGAUAUUCCUCCAGGAACAGGGAGACCAGUGAAAAGGAAGAGACUGUGCAUCUGAAGAAGUGGGCUGUAGCCCACGAAAGCUUAUGCUCAAAUAAAUUUGUAAGUCUCUAAGGUG